rnacentral:rRNA from 1 species
UACAGAGGGCCCGAGCGUUAAUCGGAAUCACUGGGCUUAAAGGGUGCGCAGGCGGGCCCGCAAGCACCUUGUGAAAUCCCACGGCUCAACCGUGGAAUUGCUUGGUGGACUGCGGGUCUUGAGCCCGGCAGAGGUCGUCGGAACUCUAGGUGGAGCGGUGAAAUGCGUAGAUAUCUAGAGGAACGCCAAAGGUGAAGACAGGCGACUGGGCCGGCGCUGACGCUCAGGCACGAAAGCGUGGGGAGCGAACGGG